UACAGUCUCCUUUAUCAUCACCUAGACACCUAGCUUAUUCACUUCAAAGUCAUUCAAAGGGUCAAGACAUUCACUGUCCAUUUCCCCUAUGAUUGCUUUUUUGUAAUUUUUGGUUGAGUGUUUAACAUAAACAUUUAUUUAUUUGUUUUACCUUGGACUUAACUGAAUCGCUGGUGGUGGAAUCUGUCAGAACAGAAAGAAGGGGAACAGAACGAAAUGAAGCUAGGUUAGCUGUGCAUCACUAUCCACACUGUUCAAAGCACAAAUCACAUAGUGAAGCAACAUCAUAGAGGAACACCAGCCAUAAAUGCUCCAAAGAAAUCCACCAUUACAGGAAUGAUAAUUGUAUUUGUAUUGACCUGUCUUUUGUUAAUUCAGCUAACAAAUUCACAGUUGAAGCAAACACAAAUCUGUAUAGCUUCAGCUUAAUUGU